rnacentral:lncRNA from 1 species
GUUCCCCAUGUACAUAUAUCACAGGUUUUAAUUUUAGUGGAAGUUUUCCAUCAGAUUUUUGAGUGCAAGUUGAUGGAUUAGAAAUAGACGCAUAACUAGGUUUUUCUAGUCUCUCUUCCACAGCUUGAGGCUGGGGAGAAUUUGUUUCAGCCAUGGAGGCCUAAAACUCCAUAAGAGUCGCCUGGUGAGAGAAGAGGCUAGCGUAGGGUUUUUUCUAUUUCAUCCCAGUUCACAUAGCUUGUG